rnacentral:rRNA from 1 species
GACGAACGCUGGCGGCGUGCUUAACACAUGCAAGUCGAGCGGUAAGGCCCUUUCGGGGGUACACGAGCGGCGAACGGGUGAGUAACACGUGGGUGACCUGCCCUCAGCUCUGGGAUAAGCCUGGGAAACUGGGUCUAAUACUGGAUAUGACUCCCCGGUGCAUGUCGUGGGGUGGAAAGCCUUGUGCGGCUGAGGAUGGGCCCGCGGCCUAUCAGCUUGUUGGUGGGGUGAUGGCCUACCAAGGCGACGACGGGUAGCCGGCCUGAGAGGGCGACCGGCCACACUGGGACUGAGACACGGCCCAGACUCCUACGGGAGGCAGCAGUGGGGAAUCUUGCGCAAUGGGCGAAAGCCUGACGCAGCGACGCCGCGUGAGGGAUGACGGCCU